CUGAUUUCAGAGGAGGAACGGAUUUCCUGUCCAAAGCCUCCAAGCCACCCUCUUCCCAGACUUGGAAAAUAGUGGGCCAGAUCAGUCACCCAAGAUGAGAACACCAGUGGCCCUCGCUUUGGGCGAACCAUGAGACUGCGGCCACAAAUUGUUAAGUAUUCAGUCUGAGGACAUGUAAGAGAACGAAGUCAAUGCCCCAAAAUAAAUAGGGUCCAGUUUGUGGAUGUGACUUUGUGGUCAAAGAAGCUUUGUAGAGACUUAAUCAUCUGAUUUCAGGGAUGUCUGUGCUGGAGAAGACCUCAGAGAUCGGACCAUCUUCAAAUGAGGGAGAAGCUGGCCCAUGAAGGGGGCUGCCUGCCAUCGCCAGACCAGUGGGUACCGGAUUCAAGUCUCGGGUUUUCCUGCUGUCUGCGGGACAUGUUCUCCCAGGCUGUGCGGGCUGCCGGAGACACCACAGAGGGCUCUGACGACUUUUGGAAGAGAAGGCAGGAACGAUAGCUGCCCCACCAAAAAAGACAGUCAUCCAUCCUUUCUGGAUUAAUGCAUGCUAAGUAUUUCCAUGUUUUCCCACAACAACAUCACGGUGCCUGGAUUCUCACUCUGUGCGUGGCUGUGCCCGGCUCCCAGCACUAGCUCUGCCCCAUGACCAGGUCUGGGAAAGCUACACGGGAACUGCUCCUGAUGCAAGGCUCCUGAAACUCUUGUCAUUUCCUAAGUGCCAAGAACACCAGGAACAUCUCUUGUUGCGAUAGUCAGUCUUCAAGACCAUCUCUGACACAGGGCUCCUGAUGCCUUGUGUAUUCCUAAAUGCAUGAGUGUCUAGAAGUGGAAUUGCGUUUGUCAAGGAGAUAGAGAGAAGCUGAGCUGGAGGAAGCGGCUGAGGCCUGUGAAGGGAGGAGCACCGAGCAGGGCUCUGCCAAGUCCUGCUUCUGAGGGGAUGACGUCACCUUCCCUGAAGGCUACGCUGCCUCUGAACAAGCUUCUUGUGAACAGACUCUGAUGUCCCGUUGUCUGCGCAGCUCCAAGCUGUCGUUCCUUUAAGAUCCUGCUCUCCAUGACUUCUGUGCAUUGUUACUUCCAAAUCACGGAGUGGUCAAGGUGCUUGUUCGGCUCACAGGUGGCAAUGGCCCAGCCAGGAUUCCAUCCUGACGAUCUGAAUCCAGAAUCUACACUCUUAACUGCUGCAGGUUACUGCUUCUCAUAAAAGGCCGGGAAGCUCUGGAUUAGAUUAUGAGACCUACUUCCUUCCCUGUGAUGUGAUUCAGCUUUGCAAGGACGGCAGCUCCUAGUCUGGCCUGCUCUGUGUGAGGCGAGGCCCCGAGAGCUUUGAAGGUGCUACCUCUGUGACUCCAAGAGUUCACACCCCCUCUCUCCUGUAGACAGUAUCAAGACGUACGUUCUAUUACUAGAUAUUCCAAAUUUGAACUUCGUUGAUCAUUUGUGAAAAUAUGCUAUAGUUUCACCUCUGAAUUUUGUCAGGAUGAUCUCCUUAAGUGGGAUGUUAAAAUGCUUCCUUCUGGAUGGACCUUUCUCUUGUCAUCAUGGAAACUACAUGGUUCUCUCCUGUUUCUAGCAGAUCACAUUAUGGAGGAAAUUCCCUUGGAAAAGCUCCUAAGUCUAGGUUUUGCCAAAAUAAAAGUAUUUUA